rnacentral:rRNA from 1 species
UGGGGAAUUUUGGACAAUGGGCGAAAGCCUGAUCCAGCAAUGCCGCGUGUGUGAAGAAGGCCUUCGGGUUGUAAAGCACUUUUGUCCGGAAAGAAAUCCUUGGCUCUAAUACAGUCGGGGGAUGACGGUACCGGAAGAAUAAGCACCGGCUAACUACGUGCCAGCAGCCGCGGUAAUACGUAGGGUGCAAGCGUUAAUCGGAAUUACUGGGCGUAAAGCGUGCGCAGGCGGUUUGCUAAGACCGAUGUGAAAUCCCCGGGCUCAACCUGGGAACUGCAUUGGUGACUGGCAGGCUAGAGUAUGGCAGAGGGGGGUAGAAUUCCACGUGUAGCAGUGAAAUGCGUAGAGAUGUGGAGGAAUACCGAUGGUGAAGGCAGCCCCCUGGGCCAAUACUGACGCUCAUGCACGAAAGCGUGGGGAGCAAAACAGGAUUAGAUACCCUGGUAGUCCACGCCCUAAAACGAUGUCAACUAGUUGUUGGGGAUUCAUUCCUUAGUAACGUAGCUAACGCGUGAAGUUGACCGCCUGGGGAGUACGGUCGCAAGAUUAAAACUCAAAUGAAUUGACGGGGUCAUAGCUGUUUCCU